CCUACGGGAGGCAGCAGUGAGGAAUAUUGGUCAAUGGACGCAAGUCUGAACCAGCCAUGCCGCGUGCAGGAAGACGGCUCUAUGAGUUGUAAACUGCUUUUGUCGGGGAGCAAAAAGGCCUCGUGAGGCCACAAGUGAGAGUACCCGAAGACAAAGCAUCGGCUAACUCCGUGCCAGCAGCCGCGGUAAUACGGAGGAUGCGAGCGUUAUCCGGAUUUAUUGGGUUUAAAGGGUGCGUAGGCGGACGGGAAAGUCAGCGGUAAAAUCGAGAGGCUCAACCUCUUUCCGCCGUUGAAACUGUCGGUCUUGAGUGGGCGAGAAGUAUGCGGAAUGCGUGGUGUAGCGGUGAAAUGCAUAGAUAGCACGCAGAACUCCGAUUGCGAAGGCAGCAUACCGGCGCCCGACUGACGCUGAGGCACGAAAGCGUGGGUAUCGAACAGGAUUAGAUACCCCUGUAGUC
rnacentral:rRNA from 1 species